GUGCCAGCAGCCGCGGUAAUACGUAGGUGGCAAGCGUUGUCCGGAUUUAUUGGGCGUAAAGCGAGCGCAGGCGGUUUUUUAAGUCUGAUGUGAAAGCCUUCGGCUCAACCGAAGAAGUGCAUCGNAAACUGGGAAACUUGAGUGCAGAAGAGGACAGUGGAACUCCAUGUGUAGCGGUGAAAUGCGUAGAUAUAUGGAAGAACACCAGUGGCGAAGGCGGCUGUCUGGUCUGUAACUGACGCUGAGGCUCGAAAGUAUGGGUAGCAAACAGGAUUAGAUACCCUGGUAGUCCAUACCGUAAACGAUGAAUGCUAAGUGUUGGAGGGUUUCCGCCCUUCAGUGCUGCAGCUAACGCAUUAAGCAUUCCGCCUGGGGAGUACGGCCGCAAGGCUGAAACUCAAAGGAAUUGACGGGGGCCCGCACAAGCGGUGGAGCAUGUGGUUUAAUCCGAAGCUACGCGAAGAACCUUACCAGGUCUUGACAUACUAUGCAAAUCUAAGAGAUUAGACGUUCCCUUCGGGGACAUGGAUACAGGUGGUGCAUGGUUGUCGUCAGCUCGUGUCGUGAGAUGUUGGGUUAAGUCCCGCAACGAGCGCAACCCUUAUUAUCAGUUGCCAGCAUUAAGUUGGGCACUCUGGUGAGACUGCCGGUGACAAACCGGAGGAAGGUGGGGAUGACGUCAAAUCAUCAUGCCCCUUAUGACCUGGGCUACACACGUGCUACAAUGGAUGGUACAACGAGUUGCGAACUCGCGAGAGUAAGCUAAUCUCUUAAAGCCAUUCUCAGUUCGGAUUGUAGGCUGCAACUCGCCUACAUGAAGUCGGAAUCGCUAGUAAUCGCGGAUCAGCAUGCCGCGGUGAAUACGUUCCCGGGCCUUGUACACACCGCCCGU
rnacentral:rRNA from 1 species